rnacentral:rRNA from 1 species
GACGAACGCUGGCGGCGUGCUUAACACAUGCAAGUCGAACGGAAAGGCCCUGCUUUUGUGGGGUGCUCGAGUGGCGAACGGGUGAGUAACACGUGAGUAACCUUCCCUUGACUUUGGGAUAACUUCAGGAAACUGGGGCUAAUACCGGAUAGGAGCUCCUGCUGCAUGGUGGGGGUUGGAAAGUUUCGGCGGUUGGGGAUGGACUCGCGGCUUAUCAGCUUGUUGGUGGGGUAGUGGCUUACCAAGGCUUUGACGGGUAGCCGGCCUGAGAGGGUGACCGGCCACAUUGGGACUGAGAUACGGCCCAGACUCCUACGGGAGGCAGCAGUGGGGAAUAUUGAACAAUGGGCGGAAGCCUGAUGCAGCAACGCCGCGUGCGGGAUGACGGCCUUCGGGUUGUAAACCGCUUUCGCCUGUGACGAAGCGUGAGUGACGGUAAUGGGUAAAGAAGCACCGGCUAACUACGUG